rnacentral:rRNA from 1 species
GAUCAUGGCUCAGAUUGAACGCUGGCGGAAUGCUUUACACAUGCAAGUCGAACGGCAGCACGGACUUCGGUCUGGUGGCGAGUGGCGAACGGGUGAGUAAUAUAUCGGAACGUGCCCAGUCGUGGGGGAUAACGUAGUGAAAAUUACGCUAAUACCGCAUACGAUCUAAGGAUGAAAGCGGGGGAUCGCAAGACCUCGCGCGAUUGGAGCGGCCGAUAUCAGAUUAGGUAGUUGGUGAGGUAAAGGCUCACCAAGCCAACGAUCUGUAGCUGGUCUGAGAGGACGACCAGCCACACUGGGACUGAGACACGGCCCAGACUCCUACGGGAGGCAGCAGUGGGGAAUUUUGGACAAUGGGCGCAAGCCUGAUCCAGCAAUGCCGCGUGCAGGAAGAAGGCCUUCGGGUUGUAAACUGCUUUUGUACGGAACGAAACGGCUCUGGUUAAUACCCGGGGCUAAUGACGGUACCGUAAGAAUAAGCACCGGCUAACUACGUG